AGGUCCGACAUCCCUGUCUACAUAGCCCAGCAAUAUCACCAAAAGAUCAAGAGCAGGCUCAGCUACUGUGCUAUGAUGAAGAGCGGGAAACAGCUUGGCCGGUUUCCAGCCCACAUACCAGUUCCUUUCCUGUCUAACCAGGAGCAAGAAGAGAUGGAGGUGAGCUACCCAGCUGCCUCACUGCCUUCCAUGGAAAAAUGAGAAAAAACCAGAAAGGCACUGAGAAGGGAGUGGGUGGCAGGCAUUUAAAAACCUCUUCAGCAAAAACAAAUGCUUUCUGGACCACAGGAGGAUGUAGACUAUUUUUUCUAAAUAUUCCAUUACAACAUUGCCUGCCAGAUAAUUCACAGGAGUCUCAUAAAUUGGACGACACAUGUGCAUCACAGAGAAGAGACAACUGCCUUAUGUCAUAAUAUAUGUGGUUGUAUGUUUCUACGCAGAGCUGGGUGAUGAGGGCCCCAUCAUGAAGCAGAUUGAGGAAAAAGUAGAAAUUAGAUGCCGGCCAUUUUAUUUCCCACAGGAUAAGUACAGAUGGGACUAGACUAGAGUCAGGAACUUGAGUGUAUUUCUGAUGGACUCUUUCAUGGCUGAUUGCGCAUCUGCCUAAUUACAGAUUUCUCUCUCAGGGUUUAGAUGGUGACCCUCAAAUAGCUGAUGUGAACAAAGUACAAAAUGCAUGGGCAUAUACUGACAGUCAAAGCAGCAGUUUGCAGGAGUGUUGCAUUAAAGAAAGAAAGAUAAAACCCUCCCUCUCUGGGGCAGUCUACAUUCUCUAACACAGGGCUGCUGAACUUCAGCCUUCCAGCUGUUUUUGGUCUACGACUUUCAUCAUCUCCAACCACAGUGGCUAAUAGUCAAGGAUUUGGGGAGUUGUAUGCAGACAUCUCCAGGAGGGUCAAAGUUGAGCAGCCCUGCUCUAGCAGCUUCAGAGUUUGCAUGUCGAAGGUCCCAAAUCCAAUCUAUGGCAUCUCUGGUUACAAAGAUCAGGUAGAAGAUGAUAGUGAAGUUCUCUGCCUGAAAUCCUGGAGAAUCAUUGCUAGCUAGAGUAGGUGAUAUUGGGCUAGAUGGACCAACGGUCACAAAAUGAGGCAGUUUCAUAGGAUGGGCCUUAUAGGUAGCAUUGAUAUUAUGUGGCAUAAGUUCUGAAUUGUUUUGUCAAACUUGCAAUUCUGACAGUCUCAUCUUACAUCAGGUGUCCAGUCCUAGAAAUAUGGGCACUUAUUAAAUUUAGGGUGGGCCAGUGCUCUUGUGGAAUACUAGAGCCCAGUUUUACUGUGACUGAGCCCGCCUUUCUCUGUCUUUCUUACCAUUUCAUGAUCUGCUUUAUGAUUCUUGGGCAGAAUGCUACAUUCUUGGAGAUGGGAUUCAACAGAGGCCACUGGACUGGAACUGAUGAGGGCUUGCCUUAGGUUUCAGGGUUUACUACUUCCCCACCAUGCACAAGCACCUGCCAGUUCAGACAGAGCAUAGGCUGAUGAUUCCCAUUCCUCUAGUAGCAGAAUGAGGGUAGUGUCACCAUGUAUGUGUCCUAGAGCCAUCAUGUGUGUGCAUUGUUGUGUACUGCCCUUAUAGAGAGGGAACCUAUAUAGCCUCAGGAUCAGAAGGCCACAUGAAAGAAGUGAGGGGAACAGCUGCAGUUUUUCAACAAAAGCUUGUGUGAAUGAUUGGCCUGUACAAUCUUCUCAGGGGCUUGAACGGACCUAAGAGUCCAUUUAGAGGACUAGAUGGGCUAGAAACUAAAGAUGGCCUACAAAUAUUAUGCUUAGGUUUUCCCUUCCCAUCUAAAUUUAUGUACUGUGCA